ACUUGGUGAUGUGGGAAUUUGUGCAAGAGGUCCCUAAAGCACUCCCAAGUGUCAAAAAAAAGUUCCCUAUCGAAUUGUGAGAAACUAGUAAUGGCCUUCCUCAGCU